rnacentral:rRNA from 1 species
CCCUUGUAUUUAAUAACAUGUGUAAUUAAUAUUGAAAAGAAAUUUAAUAAUUUUGGCGGUUAAUUAUUAAUUAGAGGAGCUUGUAUUUUAGUUAGAAUUAGCUCUUUAUAUUUAAAUAAUAAUUUAUUUAUUCAUCUCCGUUAUUAAAUGGGAAGUUAGGAAAUGGGUGUAUUAGAUUUCAGGUCAAGAUGUAGUAUUUAUUAUAAGAUAUUAGCUACAAUUAUAUAAUAAUGGAUUAUUAAAGAGAUAAUCGAGUAAGAAAUUGAAUUUAAUUGUAAUUAUAUUUAGAAUAUUAUAUUGAAUGGGUAUAAUUAAUGUACAUAUUGCCCGUCACUUCUGGUUUAAAGG